UGGGUGUGCCAUGUCUCGGGAUAGAGAUUCAGGUUAACAGUAGGUCUCAGAGCUAGCUGCAUUAAACCUUGGCUCUCCUCGGCUUCACAGACUUACGUCUUACUGUGCUGCCUGCCCGAGCAUAGCUAUGCCAGCCACGCUCCUGAGAAGAUGGCAGAGUUCCCUUGCCUAGUUCUGCUGUCUGCACCUGUGUCAGGCAGACGACUGCUGUGGUGGUGACAGAUGCCCAAGAAAGUCUCAUUAAGGGAAGACGACUUAUCUUGGCUCAUGGGUUCACUCCAUCAUGGUGGGGAGGUUACAUCAGCUCUAAGCAGCUCCAGCCACGGCAGGCACGGUGUCCUCCUGGCAGGUUUCCUCCUUCUCCCCCUUACACUCCAUCUCAGCACCCAACCUGUGGGAAGGUGCUGCCCAUGAAGAGGGCCGCACUUAAUCCUCUCACACAUCAAAGGUGAGCACUAACAACCUCCUCAGUGCCUCUCACCCACACCAGCUCCUCAGUGGAGAUCAACCAUUACAGUGCUUUAGUCUGACCCCUCCUCUCCUGGGGUGAGCAGGACCUUGGAGUUUCCCAACAGGCCAUGCCAAAAUUGUGCUAAAGAGAUGACCCCAUGGGUAAAGAAUGAUUGCUGAGUUCAGAUGCAAGUAUCCCUGUAAAAAGCAGGGUGUGGCCACAUACCUGUAACCCCCAUGCUGGGAGUGGGGACAGGAAGGUCUCUGGGGCUGGCUGGCCACCACCCUAGCUGCGGACUGAUUGAGAGACCCUGACUCAAGGGAGAGAAGCAGAGAUCAAUCAAGCAGGACCUCAGUCAAUAUCCUCCUGGCGUCUGCACAUGCACAGUCAGGCUUGUAUACACGUGCACACACACACAUGCACACACACAGAUACACACAUAUACACACACACAGGAUUGUAUACACAUGCACACACAGGCUUGUAUACACACACACACAGGCUUGUAUAUACACACAUGCACAGGCUUAUAUGCAUGCACACACACAGGUUAGUAUGCACACACAAACAAAUCAUGCAUAUGCUGGCACUUUUGGGGUGUGUGUGUGUGUGUGUGUGUGUGUGGUUAGUGUACCAUUGUAGCAUCUGCCCUGCUGGAAUCUCCCUCUCCCUGUUGGAUACAAAGGAACAGUAGCUACAGUGUCCAUGUGUAGGAUCUCCAGAUGACAGGAUGUCUGUUGCCAAGGGAAGUCUCCGUUGAUGGCCAUCAAAAUACUGAAGCUCUGAGAUUUAUAAUCACAAGGGGCUGAGUGUUACCCAGACUGGGGAGCAGGUUUCCCCUGGGCACAGUCUCCAAAUGAGAGCUCAUGCCGCCUUCACAAUGCCUCUGGCAUCCCACAGGAGCCAGCGAGGCUGUGCCUGGACUCCUGACUCACCAGACAGAGCAACGAAUGCGUGCUGUUUUAAGUGGCUCUGUCUGUGGACGUGUUGUUACGCAGCAAUAGAUAACUAACACAGUGUCUCGGCGGGGCUGAACAAGACACUGCAGUCUGAGCUCCUGCUCUGCAUAAGUGCCUGGCAUCUGGUAACGAGAUGUGUGACUGUGCUUUACUAAACAUUUCGUCCCUCACGCCUAACACUCCUAAGGAAACGAGAAAGUUUUAGUUCCCCGAAAAGAACUGAGUCAGCACCUUGAUUGUCAAACUCCUGAAGCAGGUGUCCCAGAUAAAGGACACCAGAUGUGUCACAGCAGCUGGAGUAGGGAAAGUCUGAAAUCACAAAGAUUAUGUCGAGUGCAGCUCUGUGCGCAGGAGAGAACAAAGGGAAAAUGAAAAUCAGGUUUCCUAGGGGAGGUGGGGGGAGCGUCUGUAGUGUGGUGAUGGGGGAGCUUCAGGAGGCACCCCCACUUCCUGUAGACAGAGACGGUUGGCAUGGUUACUGACGGAAUACACAUAGAACAUUUUUUAACCCCUCCCCCCCGUUUCCGUGUGGCUCGAUCUCUUACUCGAGCCCCAGAUGGGGGUCGGGGGUCCCAGUUCACAAUCAGUCCUCUGAGCUGCCUACCUCCCCUGACCUCAGGAUAGCUGUGGGAUGGAAUAAGCUCCCUCUUACAUCAAGGAAGAGGACUAAAAAUUAUUCUGUAAACAUCUUCUGAGUGUUUGCAACUUGUUGCCUGCUCCUCUGAUCUUCUCUACAGUAGCUCUCUGUGUCUGGUGCUUUUCCCAUCACUGGUUAACCAAAUAGUCCCAGGCUAAAAGCAGCCCAGCUGCAUGCUCGGGAGCCCAUGGCCAGUGGUCCCCUGGGAUAGAGCUCAAAUCUACUGAGUCCAGGACUGUGCAGAGCAUCAGUGUGCUCUGAGCCCCCCACCCCCAGCCUUCCAGGGAAGCUCCAAGGUCAGUUUCUUCAUAAAAGAGGCCAUUUGCAUUGU
rnacentral:lncRNA from 1 species